UAGAGCUGCAGUAAGAGGAUGAGUUUCACUGGAAGCUCUGUCUCCAUGUUUUGUUCACAGGCUACAGGUAGAUUGGGCUGGGUCACCUGUAUCCAGCUGUCUGUCUAUGAAGAGUGACCAUUCAAUGGAUCUUCCAGUCUACUUCAGAGGAGAGUUCACAGGUGAUCAAAGGAUUCAGUGCUCAAAUAAACUGUUCUCCUCAAAACAGGAUCCAUAAACGAUGGCAGUGGAUGACUCCAAACAGAUUGUUUUUAAGUUCAAAGGCUUUAUUUGUCACAUGC